rnacentral:rRNA from 1 species
GAAACCGGUGCUAAUACCGAAUAGUUUUCGCCACCUCCUGGUGGCGUACGGAAAGACGGUUUCGGCUGUCACUGCAGGAUGGGCCCGCGGCGCAUUAGCUAGUUGGUGGGGUAACGGCCCACCAAGGCGACGAUGCGUAGCCGACCUGAGAGGGUGAUCGGCCACACUGGGACUGAGACACGGCCCAGACUCCUACGGGAGGCAGCAGUAGGGAAUCUUCCGCAAUGGACGAAAGUCUGACGGAGCAACGCCGCGUGAGUGACGAAGGUUUUCGGAUCGUAAAACUCUGUUGUGAGGGAAGAACAAGUACCAAUUAACUACUGGUACCUUGACGGUACCUCACCAGAAAGCCACGGCUAACUACGUGCCAGCAGCCGCGGUAAUACGUAGGUGGCAAGCGUUGUCCGGAAUUAUUGGGCGUAAAGCGCGCGCAGGCGGUCCCUUAAGUCUGAUGUGAAAGCCCACGGCUCAACCGUGGAGGGUCAUUGGAAACUGGGGGACUUGAGUGCAGAAGAGGAAAGUGGAAUUCCACGUGUAGCGGUGAAAUGCGUAGAGAUGUGGAGGAACACCAGUGGCGAAGGCGACUUUCUGGUCUGUAACUGACGCUGAGGCGCGAAAGCGUGGGGAG